rnacentral:rRNA from 1 species
AUUGAACGCUGGCGGCAUGCCUUACACAUGCAAGUCGAACGGCAGCACGGGUGCUUGCACCUGGUGGCGGGUGGCGAACGGGUGAGUAAUACAUCGGAACAUGUCCUGUAGUGGGGGAUAGCCCGGCGAAAGCCGGAUUAAUACCGCAUACGAUCUACGGAUGAAAGCGGGGGACCUUCGGGCCUCGCGCUAUAGGGUUGGCCGAUGGCUGAUUAGCUAGUUGGUGGGGUAAAGGCCUACCAAGGCGACGCUCAGUAGCUGGUCUGAGAGGACGACCAGCCACACUGGGACUGAGACACGGCCCAGACUCCUACGGGAGGCAGCAGUGGGGAAUUUUGGACAAUGGGCGAAAGCCUGAUCCAGCAAUGCCGCGUGUGUGAAGAAGGCCUUCGGGUUGUAAAGCACUUUUGUCCGGAAAGAAAUCCUUGGCCCUAAUACGGUCGGGGGAUGACGGUACCGGAAGAAUAAGCACCGGCUAACUACGUG